UGUAUUUUCUUUGGCUGAUGUCGUGUUUCCUUGCAGAGGCCAUGAGGUCUGGAAGGCAGGAAUCAAUUCUCCCACAUGGAGGCAUGCUCCCGGGCGUAGAGGACAAUGUCUCGCAUGAAGCGGGCACUAAGUAAACACUCAUGGAGUGAUUGAUGGGCUGUUUGAGAGAAAUGUGCUCGUGAGAGUCUGGGGCACAUCUGGAAAGAGCUGAGAGAGGAUUUUCAGGAGGAGCAGGCAGCACAGAACUUGCUGCAGGAGCCUGCCAAAGGCUUUGUGCUGCCUGGUUUUUCCUCCCUUGAUCCUGGUGUCAGUUUCAGAAAGACUUAAGUGGAUCCUGCAUCAGGAGGGAGCAGACACCGGAGAAAGAAAAACAAGUUGUGCUGUUUGAGGAAGCAAGUUGGACCUGCACUCCAGCCUGUGGAGAUGAACCUAGGACUGUGAUUCUGCUAUCCAGUAUGUUGGCUGACCACAGGGUAAGAUAGGCUCUCAAGGAACUUACCAUCUUGUUUGUGCAAAAUGAAAAUACUUUGAAAUAACUGUCUUGGGGAAAGACAAAAAUAAGAACAGAAUGCCGAGAAGAUUACACACAAGGCAUGCAACCCCAAGGUACAACACCUGAGAUUCCUGAGAGGGAGAUCUGGUUGUCAUAGACAGGAAGAGCUGGAAGGAGGAGAUGGCUCAGGAGGCUGAUGGGGCUGGAGAGCUGCAAGGGGAGAGGUGAGAAAGGCUCUCCUGGGGAACAGUCUGAGGACCCUGUGCCUGCUUGGCCUUCCAUUCAUCUUUAUGGCUUGGUCAUGUGAUCUGCAUUGAUCUGUAGUUCCAGGGAAGGACUUCCUUCCUUCCUUCCUUCCUUCCUUCCUUCCUCCCUUCCUCCCUCCCUCCCUCCCUUCCUUCCUCCCUCCCUCUCUCCCUCCCUCUUUCUCUCUCUCUCUCUUUCUUUCUCUCUUUCUCUUUCUCUCUUUCUUCCUUUCUUUCCUCCCUCCCUCCUUUCUUUCCCUUCCUUCCUUCCUUCCUUCCUUCCUUUCUUUUUUCUUUCUUUCUUUCUUUCUUUCUUUCUUUCUUUCUUUCUUUCUUCCUUCCUUCCUUCCUUCCUUCCUUCCUUCCUUCCUUCCUUCCUUCCUUCCUUCUUUCUCUCUCUCUCUUUCUUUCUUUCUUUCUUUCUCUUUCUUUUUCUUUCCAAUGCAGCCACUUGGGACUUCACAUAUGAGAUGAGGUGGUGAAAGCAUGGAGAUGGUCUAAAACUGAGCAGGAACAUUAAAUGAACAGGUGGAAGGAACCACCAUACUCUCAGAAGAAAUGGUCAACCAGCAGAGAUCCUGAACCCUGAUCCCAAAACCAAUCUAGAGAUACAGGAGGCACCAGAGGGAGGUUGGUGGGAGGCCAAGGAAUUUUAGCAGAGACAAAAGGAAAUUAGAUCUCAGUUGAGGAAGAAGAGGAAAAUGAUACAAAGUGGGUAGGCCAGAUGCCACUGACUGGGCAUAGGCUGAGGGAAAGAGGGACUUUCUAGGUAGUCAUAUUAUCUUCUGUUGUUGCCCUGGAUGGACCAUUACCCAUUGCUUUGCACAAGGUGGAAAACUGCAGACCCCACCCAGUGGCAGCAGAGGAGGGAGGUUAAUCUAAGGACUGAGAUGAAGCCAGGCUGGGCUGGAAUGAAGGUAAAAGGGACAGGAAAACUGGUUUCAAGAAGAAAACAAGGCUGGGUAUGGUGGCUCAUGCCUGUAAUCCCAGCACUUUGGGAGGCCAAGG